UACGUAGGGGGCAAGCGUUGUCCGGAAUCAUUGGGCGUAAAGAGCGUGUAGGCGGCCAGAUAAGUCCGCUGUGAAAUCUCGAGGCUCAACUUCGAGCUGUCGGUGGAAACUGUCUGGCUAGAGUGCGGAAGAGGAGAAUGGAAUUCCUGGUGUAGCGGUGAAAUGCGCAGAUAUCAGGAAGAACACCCGUGGCGAAGGCGGUUCUCUGGGCCGUUACUGACGCUGAGACGCGAAAGCGUGGGGAGCGAACAGG
rnacentral:rRNA from 1 species